GCACAAUAAAAAAAUGUAUUACAUGGCCCCACCAUACCAACCGAUAACGGUUGCUUUCAUGCCCAGCUACUAGUAUUGGCCAAUUUCACCACGGCAAUUCCUUCACCGAUCAAGACACAUUAAAAAAUAUGACCGUUGGUUGUUUACAGCACAUUUUUUCUGCCCAAAUAAAAAAAAUACAAUAUUAUUCAUGACCGUCGUAUCAAUGUACAAUAUAAAACCCAAACUGGAGCACUCCUCUUCUUCAACAUCGCCAAAAGAUCUGCUUGCUAGCCAUGGAGCACUCUUCCUCCUCUAGUUUCACCAACAUGCUCACCUCCAACUUGGGCGCAGAAUCACAAAAUCCAAACAACGAGCACCACCAAAAUUACCCACCAUCAGAAGAUCCAAACAACCAACACCAAUAUUACCCAACAUCUUAUUUUCCCAUGAAUCAUCCACACCAACAGUUUAACCCAAGUUUUCGCCCUUUGUACCCACCACCCUACAACCCAUAUGGAGCUCAAUCAAUCUUUCAUCAAGUGCCAUCAACACCAAAUUAUCAAGGUUGUUACCAAGGUAACGUGGGUCAAUACCCACAGGGAGUGUAUGGAUCUCCUGCUGCAUCAAUGGGCUUCUUUGGAGCUCCUAAAGGAAGUAGUCCAAUGGGAUCACCAUCUCCCAUGUCCAUGUCACAAGAAUUCUAAUGAUCCAAUUGAUGGCAAUAGCAAGAAAGCGGAGAGCUAUUGGAAGCAAGUUGUAGCAGAUUACAACAAGAAUUCAACAGAAAAGGAGAGAAGAACAGCUGCACAAUUGAAAACUCACUGGGCCACAAACAGCCAACUAGUUUCAAAGUUCAAUGGAUGUUGGAAUGUUUAGAAGAACACAUAUUCUAGUGGAUAGAGUGAUGAUCAACUUAUGGAUCGUACGCGUGCAGCCUACAUGAAACUUAUGAAAACUAAGAGGCCUUUUGCAUUAGAACAUUGGUGGAAAGCUGUGAAAGACCAGAACAAAUGGAAAAGAGUUUUUGGGCGUGAAGAGAUGAACAAAAGAAACAAGUUAAAUGCCUCAGGAGCUUACUCUCCUCCAAAUGAAGACCACGAUGAUGAUCCUGUAGAAAUUCCCCAACCGCAAGGACAAAAUUCAGCCAAGGCGCAGAGGAAGGGAAAAGAUAAAUCAACCUCGCAAUCUUCUGAAUGACAGUGUGCAACUAUUCAAUGAUCUUCAGCUUCGAAAAUCCAUUGCAGCUGAAAAAAUGGCAGAAGCAACGUUUAUUCAAGCAGAAGCUGAAAGAGAUCGAGCGGUAGCUGAAAAAGAGAGAGCUGGAGCAGAAAUGAGAGAGGACAAAUAAUGAAAAACUGAGCAAAUACAUGGAGUGAUAAAGACUCUUCACACUACACUGAAGCUCAAAAGGCUCGACAUGAACGCUUGCUUGAUCACUUAGCUAAGGAUUUGGCCAUUGGAGAUAAUUAGGAAAAACAUUGUAUCUUUCCUACCUGUAUGACUUAGUGUACUACUUUUUAUGUCUUGUAGUUUAAGUGUAACAUAGGUAGCAUGAAGUUGUUCUAUAGCAUGAAUAAAUUGUAACUUCUGA